CCGACUUACCAAACCGAUGCAAACUCCGAAUACCUGGAAGUGUCAGCGUGGGAGACACACGGCGGGUGCUAACGUCCGUCGUGAAAAGGGAAACAACCCAGACCGUCAGCUAAGGUCCCAAAGUUAUGGUUAAGUGGUAAACGAUGUGGGAAGGCUUAGACAGCUAGGAGGUUGGCUUAGAAGCAGCCACCCUUUAAAGAAAGCGUAAUAGCUCACUAGUCGAGUCGGCCUGCGCGGAAGAUGUAA
rnacentral:rRNA from 1 species